GAUGUGUAGAAAGGUUUAAUUAUGGCCCUAAAUUUAUGGAUAAAAUGCUUCUCAUGAUUUUAAACGUAAACUGGACAAAAUCAAGUAGAGUUCAACAUCAGUGGGGAAAAUUGGCUAAUAAAGGAAACUUUGACCCAGCUUUUUAACAAUUUCGGGGUUAAUUGAUGAAUGCCAGCAGCCGCGGUUAUAUUCAGUUCGAACAUAAAUUUUAGCGGAUUGGUUGGAGUCAAUGUAAGUUUAUAAAACUAUAAAAAAACUAUAGGUGCAGUGUAAUGUUAACGGUUUUUUGUGGUUGUAUUCCCAAAGUUUUAUUAGGUUUCUAACGAGUCUGUGAAGUGAAACCAGGAUCUAGAUACCCUGUUAUCCACAGUUUAAAAUAGGAGUUCCUCUUAACUAAGCAUUUGGUGGUCAAAGAGAAAUAAAUAGGCGGUGUCUGAAGUAAAAACAGGGGAUCCUGGGUGUUAAAGGACAAUCCACCUACAUUUGGCCCUUAUCUUAGUAGUGCGUGUGUAUGGUUGUUUACUCUAAUAUGGUGAGUGUCCGGGUAGAGGCUUUGGCGGUGACUGAAGCUACUUUUUCUGCUUAAGCAAUUAAGGUAAGUUUUUUAACAGCUUCAAAAAUAAUUCAGAUUGACAUGAAGCUUAUGAUAAGGCUAACCUGGGAUACAGUUGUAACUUAAGCAGUAAUUAAAAGUUUGAGCUAUUAAAAAGUAUCUCAAAUAACUCAACGAAUAAGAAAAGAAACCUUAACUUUGAAGAAAGGCUUGUAAGUAAAGGUCGCAAAUAAAGUGUCUCUGAAUACAAUCAGACGAGUACUAAUCCGCCCGUCGCUCGCGAGGAAACUUGUGAAAAGUCGUAACAAGGUAGCGGUAACGGAAGUUGUUGCUAGGAUAGAGAAU
rnacentral:rRNA from 1 species